rnacentral:rRNA from 1 species
GACGAACGCUGGCGGCGUGCUUAACACAUGCAAGUCGAACGGAAAGGCCCUGCUUUUGUGGGGUGCUCGAGUGGCGAACGGGUGAGUAACACGUGAGUAACCUGCCCUUGACUUUGGGAUAACUUCAGGAAACUGGUGCUAAUACCGGAUAGGAGCUCCUGCUGCAUGGUGGGGGUUGGACAGUUUCGGCGGAUGGGGAUGGACUCGCGGCUUAUCAGCUUGUUGGUGGGGUAGUGGCUUACCAAGGCUUUGACGGGUAGCCGGCCUGAGAGGGUGACCGGCCACAUUGGGACUGAGAUACGGCCCAGACUCCUACGGGAGGCAGCAGUGGGGAAUAUUGCACAAUGGGCGGAAGCCUGAUGCAGCAACGCCGCGUGCAGGAUGACGGCCUUCGGGUUGUAAACCGCUUUCGCCUGUGACGAAGCGUGAGUGACGGUAAUGGGUAAAGAAGCACCGGCUAACUACGUG